CCUACGGGUGGCAGCAGUGAGGAAUAUUGGUCAAUGGUCGGGAGACUGAACCAGCCAAGCCGCGUGAGGGAUGAAGGUACAGAGUAUCGUAAACCUCUUUUGUCAGGGAACAAAGGCGGGGACGUGUCCCCGGAUGAGUGUACCUGAAGAAAAAGCAUCGGCUAACUCCGUGCCAGCAGCCGCGGUAAUACGGAGGAUGCGAGCGUUAUCCGGAUUUAUUGGGUUUAAAGGGUGCGCAGGCGGUCUGUUAAGUCAGCGGGCAAAGCCCGGGGCUCAACCCCGGCCCGCCGUUGAAACUGGCAGUCUAGAGUUGGAGAGAAGUAUGCGGAAUGCGCGGUGUAGCGGUGAAAUGCAGAGAUAUCGCGCAGAACUCCGAUUGCGAAGGCAGCAUGCCGGCUCCACACUGACGCUGAGGCACGAAAGCGUGGGUAUCGAACAGGAUUAGAUACCCUGGUAGUC
rnacentral:rRNA from 1 species